rnacentral:rRNA from 1 species
GAUGAACGCUGGCGGCGUGCCUAAUACAUGCAAGUCGAGCGAACGGACGAGAAGCUUGCUUCUCUGAUGUUAGCGGCGGACGGGUGAGUAACACGUGGAUAACCUACCUAUAAGACUGGGAUAACUUCGGGAAACCGUAGCUAAUACCGGAUAAUAUUUUGAACCGCAUGGUUCAAAAGUGAAAGACGGUCUUGCUGUCACUUAUAGAUGGAUCCGCGCUGCAUUAGCUAGUUGGUAAGGUAACGGCUUACCAAGGCAACGAUGCAUAGCCGACCUGACAGGGUGGUCCGCCACACUAGGACUGGUUCACAGAUCAGUCACCUUCGGUGGGCAGCAGUAAGGAAUUUUUCGAAAUGGGACAAGAGCGUGCAGGACAACGUGGGGGUGAGGAUGAAGGUCCUCUGAUAGGUAAAAACUUUUAUUAGGGAAGAACAUAUGUGUAAGUAACUGUGCACAUCUUGACGGUACCUAAUCAGAAAGCCACGGCUAACUACGUG